rnacentral:tRNA from 1 species
GGGAAUGUGGCUCAGUGGCAGAGUGCUUGCCUAGCAAACAUGAAGCCCUGGGUUCAAUUCCUCAGUACCA